GAUGAAGAACGUAGCGAAAUGCGAUAAGUAAUGUGAAUUGCAGAAUUCAGUGAAUCAUCGAAUCUUUGAACGCACAUUGCGCCCGCCAGUAUUCUGGCGGGCAUGCCUGUCUGAGCGUCAUUUCAACCCUCAGCCCCCGCUCGCGGGGCGCUGGCGUUGGGGAUCGGCCGUCCUCGCGGCGGCCGGCCCCGAAACACAGUGGCGGUCUCUCGCGGACUCCCCUGCGUAGUAGCACUACCUCGCAGAAGGGACGAGCGGGCUGACCACGCCGUAAAACCCCCCACUUCUCCAGGUUGACCUCAGAUCAGGUAGGAGUACCCGCUGAACUUAAGCAUAUCAAUAAGCGGAGGA
rnacentral:misc_RNA from 1 species